AACGAACGCUGGCGGCAUGCCUAACACAUGCAAGUCGAACGAGACCUUCGGGUCUAGUGGCGCACGGCUGCGUAACGCGUGGGAACCUGCCCUUAGGUUCGGAAUAACUCCCCGAAAGGGGUGCUAAUACCGGAUAAUGUCUUCGGACCAAAGAUUUAUCGCCCUUGGAUGGGCCCGCGUUGGAUUAGCUAGUUGGUAGGGUAAAAGCCUAACAAGGCGACGAUCCAUAGCUGGUCUGAGAGGAUGAUCAGCCACACUGGGACUAGGACACGGCCCAGACUCCUACGGGAUGCAGCAGUGGGGAAUAUAGGAAAAUGGGCGAAAGCCUGAUCCAGCAAGGCCGGGUGAGUGAUGAAGGCCUUAGGGUUGUAAAGCUCUUGUACCCGGGAUGAUAAUGACAGUACCGGGAGAAUAAGCUCCGGCUAACUCCGUG
rnacentral:rRNA from 1 species